GUGCGGGUAGAGCAGUUUGGUAGCUCGCAAGGCUCAUAACCUGAGGUCACGGGUUCAAAUCCUGCUUCCGCAACA
rnacentral:tRNA from 1 species